ACUGUUCAAGACCUCUCCCCUUCACUUCACUCUAACUGACACUUACUAGCAGUUCCCACUCACUACCAGUCAGUUGACUCACUGUACAAGACCUCUCCCCUUCAGUCUACUGCAGGGUGGGAGAUGCAACAAUGGCCU